rnacentral:lncRNA from 10 species
UCUCCUCUAUGGAAAAAAGAAAAGAAUUCUCUGGACUGAAGAGUAUGAUUGUGGUUACAGAUCUUCCUCAUGGUCUUGUGGGGCCUCAAAAUUCCACUUGAGGCAGUGAGUAUCAGCUGACUUCUAGCUGGUCAUGGUAGAUCAAACAAAACACAUACUGAGUAGAGAUGGGGGCCAAUGGCUGAGAAAUAAUUCAGACAUUUCAAGAAUGCACAAGCUAUAGUCUGCUGUAUUCAUGGAGCACACAAGAAAGAAAUGUGAAGAGGAAAGAAGCCCUGUAUUACUUAGAUUUGACUGCUUCAUGCCAGUCUCAGGAGCUUUUCCAGCUCAGCAUGAUCAAAACUUCACUAAAGCCAGGUGCAUUCAAGAACACAGGACUCCCUAUUCCCAGAGCUUCAAGUUGAAAGGGUUCUUCUGCUCACUGGGUCAGAAGCAUCCGAUUUCCUGUCAUCGGUUGCGGUUCAGCCAUGUUAAUACUGAAAGUAUAAGAAUAUCAUAAUCCCAGAGUGAUAUAAAGACCUUUCCAAGGAAGAUGAGAUACCCGGAGGCUGUGAAGGAGAAGUCUGAAGGAUUUGAACGCGUUCAAAUGAAAACCUUUGGUUCAGCAAAACACCAGAAACAAAUUCAAAAGAUAAAAUACACUCCGGAGAAGCCCAUUCUCUCAACGCAUCUGACAGUUCACAAAGAGCAACUGCAGUCCAACUUAAAAAAUAAAGAAAAUGGUAGGAAAAUGGGCAACAUGCACUGAGGCAAUAUAUAAGAAGAAGGAAUGCGCAAUUAAUCAACAAAAGCCUGCUCUUUCCUAACGAGUGAAGAUACAAGCUUAGUAAAUAUUAAAAUUUAUUGAAGAUAAAAAUGGACACUUCCGGCCAUAUAUAAAAGCAUUGUUGGUAAGAGAGUGGGGUAAUUGACAUGCUCCUGGGAAAUAAUACGCAUUCAGACAACCUCUAAUGAGUGAAUCCACUGGGGGUAUCCACUAGGAAUAGAAAACGACCACCAAUGCCCAAGUUUGUGGUCCAGAAUUUGAGCAGCGAUCUAACAAAGUAGAGUCUCCCCCUGUGUCAUGGGCCCCACUUCUUAAGCAAAGAAGAAUGCCUCAUUUUGGUAACUCACCCAAAUAAACAGAAAUUUUUUUUGAUAAUCUUAUCGCAUUUAUUUGGUUAAGUCUGAGGCAGAAUAUUUUUCUCCUUUGUAUCUUUGUUUUGUUUUGUUUUAAUCCUUGAAGUUUAUUACCAAACUACAUCUUGGUGUUUCUUCAGGAUGUGAACAGGCCUUUCUAUUCUCAAUUAAGUGUUUCUUUCCUUUAAUUCAGGAAUCUUCUAAUCAUGUAUUUUAAUUUCUUUUUCUGUCAUCCCUCCCCACGCCAUAAGCUACCAGUCACUAUACAUGUUGGAGCUCUCUUUAUUGUGCCAUAGAUCUCUGAUGUCAUGUCUUUAGUCAUUAUUUUGUGUCAGAAAUUUUUGUUCUUCCGGGGACAUCUGGCAAUAUCUAGAGACAUGCUACUGGCACCUAUAGAAAUGCUAGUGACUUAUUAUGGGUAGAGGCUAAAGAUGCUGCUAAAUAUCCUACAAUGCCCAGGACAGCCACUGCCACAACAAAGAAUUAUGCAGUCCACAAUGUCCAUAGUGCUAAGGAGAAGAAACCCUGUCCUAGGGUCAAGGUUGGAUGCUGACAAGACUAAUUUCAAGUGAUUUCAAACGAUUGUGGGGAAAAUACCCAGAAGUUGACAGGAGCAAUAUGUAGAUAUUUCCUUCUGUAAAUUAUAUUUCCCUAAUGCUAAUGCUGGAGCAUUUGGAAACACGUGUAUAAAUAUUUGAAGCACAAAACCAGAGAGAUGCUCUUAUGUAUUUAGCUUCUAGUUUUAAAUAAUAGAUACUACAAUAAACCUUGAUUAAACCUUGAUUAUCUGAUAUGCUCUGGGUUUGUGCUUUUUGUGUGGGUUACAUUUUCUAGUUAAUGAAUGUUUAACCACAAAAUAUUUUUGUUUCAAGCUUUGCUUUGCAAAAAUAUAGCAUUUCUAACUGAGGUGCUUGUAAUGUCCCUGGAUUAUGAAGUAAGUUGAAAACCCUGAAAUUCUAUAUAAAUAAAGGAGGGGAGCGUAUUAUGG